rnacentral:rRNA from 1 species
UACGUAGGGUGCAAGCGUUAAUCGGAAUUACUGGGCGUAAAGCGUGCGCAGGCGGUUCUAUAAGACAGAUGUGAAAUCCCCGGGCUCAACCUGGGAACUGCAUUUGUGACUGUAGAGCUGGAGUGCGGCAGAGGGGGAUGGAAUUCCGCGUGUAGCAGUGAAAUGCGUAGAGAUGUGGAGGAACACCGAUGGCGAAGGCAGCCCCCCUGGGCUAACACUGACGCUCAUGCACGAAAGCGUGGGGAGCAAACAGG